rnacentral:rRNA from 1 species
AGCGAACGCUGGCGGCAGGCUUAACACAUGCAAGUCGAACGGGCGUAGCAAUACGUCAGUGGCAGACGGGUGAGUAACGCGUGGGAACGUACCUUUUGGUUCGGAACAACCCAGGGAAACUUGGGCUAAUACCGGAUAAGCCCUUACGGGGAAAGAUUUAUCGCCGAAAGAUCGGCCCGCGUCUGAUUAGCUAGUUGGUGUGGUAACGGCGCACCAAGGCGACGAUCAGUAGCUGGUCUGAGAGGAUGAUCAGCCACAUUGGGACUGAGACACGGCCCAAACUCCUACGGGAGGCAGCAGUGGGGAAUAUUGGACAAUGGGCGCAAGCCUGAUCCAGCCAUGCCGCGUGAGUGAUGAAGGCCCUAGGGUUGUAAAGCUC